UCCCACUGUGUCUGUUUUCUCGGAGAAUAUGUACUAACACUAUAAAACUCACAGGCAGUAGAGAGAAAUCCACAGAGGUGUGAGUGGAAAGAGAGAGAACUACAGUUUGAAUCCAGUGGAGAUGCAGGUUCUAAAUUUAGUGGAUAAAGGAAACAGGGCAUAUGAUCAAAAUUACCCUUGGAAUUUCUAACUGGGACUGUAAAUCAUCACAGAAUGCGUAUUUUUGUCCAUAUAAUCCUUUUACAGUGAUUUACUAUUAAAUAUAUGUGGUUUUUUAAAUAAAUAACAAGUAAUAUAAAAAUCAAUGUCCUUAAAUGCUAGACUUGUGUGCAGUUACUUAUAUAUUACUUUAUUGGUAAUGUAAGUAAAGUAAGUGGUUACUGUGAUAGGUGGAGGCAGCAGCAGUCCCUGUUUCCCAUCUUACACAUUUUCAGAAUAGAUACUCCCUUGGUAGAAUCAUGGGCUGACACUAUCACACUAUAAAAUUUUCUCUGGUUCUGCUUCUUCCCCUCUGGAACACACAUGGAUGAUUCUUGUUACUUAAUGCACACAGUAAAUAACUGUAUAGGCCAUGAACUGGAGGCCUUGUGUUUUGGGUGAAAAGCUUUGGAUUUGAGUUUGUGUUUUCAAACACACUUCUAAGGUAGAAAUCGUCAAGAGCUUUCCCAAACUCUCUUUUUAAUCCUCCUGAGCUCAUCAUCUCUGGGACUCUCCUUCAAUUGGACAGUCAUGCAGUUGAGCUUGGCCAAUGAAACAUGAGUGGAGGGUGUGACACAAAACCUGCCAUGUUCAAGCCUACAUACUCUUUCCCUCUUCCAGCUUUGUGCUGAUGAACAUGGCCACCUUGAAAGGUGUGUUGAAUAUGGCACAGCCAGAAAAUGCAAGGAGUCUUCUUCUCUGGAUCACCACUUGAAGAAGAGCCACUUGCUGCUCACAAACCCUACUUUGGACUGAGGCUUAACACAAUAUGGAAGCCACCAAGGCUUACAGAAUGUGCUUUCCAGAGCUAUGACCUGAGCUGUACCUGGGGCCUUUUGAGUGAGGCUGGAACUGGAGUGGCCUAGAUGCAGAGAGCAGUGUCCUAAGGCUGUGCAGGCUGCAAGGAAGCUCAAGUAGCCCAUGGAGAGGACGCGAGGCUUCCAGCUGAUACCCUCAGCCAGGCUCAGCAGCAGUCAGAACUAGCCUACCAAGGAACCUGCUGAUCAUGUGCGUAAGCCUCCUUGAACGUGGAUCCUCCUGCCUGGUGGAGCCAUCCCAGCUGAUGCCACAUGAAGCAGACACAAGCUGUCCCUACUAAGCUCUGCCCAAGUUGGAUAUUCAUGAGUGAAAUAAAUAACUGUUACUAAGUAAUUAAUUUUUGGGUGGCUGUUAGGCAGCUACGGUAGAUAAUUGGAACAGAGCUUAUUGACGUAAUACAUCUAUAUCAUAUCCUCCGAUUCAUUUUUUUAAGUAAUAAAGUUGAUGUUUGUUUUGACUUUCAGUU